UUUUGACUUUAGACAAAUUUAUUGUAAAUAAAUUUUAAUUGUCAAAAU
rnacentral:tRNA from 1 species